UUUUAAUAGCUUAUUAAGAGCAUAAUAUUGAAGAUAUUAAGGAGGGUUUUACCUUAAAAUAUUUAUAAAAGCAAAGU
rnacentral:tRNA from 1 species